AGGUAAGCUACUAAGAGCGAAUGGUGGAUGCCUUGACUGGUAAAGGCGAUGAAGGACGUACUAGACUGCGAUAAGCUACGGGGAGCUGUCAAGAAGCUUUGAUCCGUAGAUUUCCGAAUGGGGCAACCCAAUGUAUAGAGAUAUACAUUACCUAUAUAGGAGCGAACGAGGGGAAUUGAAACAUCUUAGUACCCUCAGGAAAAGAAAUCAAUAGAGAUUGCGUCAGUAGCGGCGAGCGAAAGCGCAAGAGGGCAAACCCAGUGCUUGCACUGGGGGUUGUAGGACUGUAAUGUGCAAGAGGUAAGUUUAGCAGAACAUUCUGGAAAGUAUAACCAUAGAGGGUGAUAGUCCCGUAUGCGAAAAACAAACCUUAGCUAGCAGUAUCCUGAGUAGGGCGGGACACGAGGAAUCCUGUCUGAAUCCGGGUCGACCACGAUCCAACCCUAAAUACUAAUACCAGAUCGAUAGUGCACAAGUACCGUGAGGGAAAGGUGAAAAGAACUGAGGUGAUCAGAGUGAAAUAGAACCUGAAACCAUUUGCUUACAAUCAUUCAGAGCCUUAUGUAGCAAUACAGGGUGAUGGACUGCCUUUUGCAUAAUGAGCCUGCGAGUUGUGGUGUCUGGCAAGGUUAAGCAAACGCGAAGCCGUAGCGAAAGCGAGUCUGAAUAGGGCGCUUAGUCAGAUGCUGCAGACCCGAAACGAAGUGAUCUAUCCAUGAGCAAGUUGAAGCUAGUGUAAGAACUAGUGGAGGACUGAACCCAUAGGCGUUGAAAAGCCCCGGGAUGACUUGUGGAUAGGGGUGAAAGGCCAAUCAAACUUCGUGAUAGCUGGUUCUCUCCGAAAUAUAUUUAGGUAUAGCGUUGUGUCGUAAUAUAAGGGGGUAGAGCACUGAAUGGGCUAGGGCAUACACCAAUGUACCAAACCCUAUCAAACUCCGAAUACCUUAUAUGUAAUCACAGCAGUCAGGCGGCGAGUGAUAAAAUCCGUCGUCAAGAGGGAAACAACCCAGACUACCAGCUAAGGUCCCUAAAUCUUACUUAAGUGGAAAACGAUGUGAAGUUACUUAAACAACCAGGAGGUUGGCUUAGAAGCAGCCAUCCUUUAAAGAAAGCGUAAUAGCUCACUGGUCUAGUGAUUUUGCGCGGAAAAUAUAACGGGGCUAAAGUAAGUACCGAAGCUGUAGACUUGCACACAACUUAGAUUAUUUAAGUUUAGAAUAUGAGAAACUAAGUUAUAUGUUUAGUUAUAUUUUUACUGAUUUUUAUAGAGUAAAGAUAGAAAUAAAACUUAGUAAAAUCAGUAAAAAUAUUCUUAGACUAAAGUUAAGUAGUUUAAGUUGUGUGCAAGUGGUAGGAGAGCGUUCUAUUUGCGUCGAAGGUAUACCGGUAAGGAGUGCUGGAGCGAAUAGAAGUGAGCAUGCAGGCAUGAGUAGCGAUAAUUAAUGU
rnacentral:rRNA from 1 species